UACGGGGGGGGCAAGCGUUGUUCGGAAUCACUGGGCUUAAAGGGCGCGUAGGCGGUCCGACAAGUCAGGGGUGAAAUCCUGCAGCUUAACUGCAGAAGUGCCUUUGAUACUGUCGGUCUUGAGGGAGAUAGGGGUGUGCGGAACUCACAGUGGAGCGGUGAAAUGCGUUGAUAUUGUGAGGAACGCCGGAGGCGAAAGCGGCGCACUGGAUCUCUUCUGACGCUGAGGCGCGAAAGCUAGGGGAGCAAACGGG
rnacentral:rRNA from 1 species